UUACAAUAUGCUUCUGUUAUUCUCCAGUACUCCCUGUGUCUAGGCCCUGACACCAAACACAGCCUGAGUGCAGCCAAAGGAAAGUUUGGAAUCUACCCUUAGUGACAACCCUGGGGAGUACCCAGACACAAGUCAAGAAACCAUCUCACAGCACUAAGAACUGUGAAGUCAACCUCUAGCAACCUUUCCUUCUUUGAACCAUCAACCUAUGACUGAAAAUUAGAUCAAUGAGAUUAAAUCACUUGCAAUCAAGAUAUUGAGAAAAAGCCACAAUGAGGGCAAGGAUAUUAACUCUGGUGGCAGUUAUAGAACAGGCUGGAAGAGGAAGACACAUGAUACAAGAAGACCAGAUGAGAAAUUACUGUCAUUGCUCACAUGUGAGACAGGAGCUGCAACUAGAAUGAUGGCAGCGUGAACAGGAAGUUGCUAAAGACUUCGCAAAGACACAACAGGAUCAACUGACUAGAGGAUAGAGGUGAGAAAGAAAAUGAAGAGUUCGGAGAUUAAAUUGCAAUUUCAAGUCCAGGCCAUCAAACUCCAGUCAUACAACCAGAGCCUGGGACGAUGGUCCCUUCUGCUGGGAACACUUAAAUAGGCUUCUGAGGGAGAUAGAUCUGACUGCUGUUUCCCCCAAAGCAGCGCCCCCUGUUGGCAGGAAGCAGUUACGAUUGGCCUUCGUCUUUAAUGGCAGUUAGAUGUUCUUCUUUAGAUGGGGGAAUGAGACAGCCAGGUGGGAGGGGGUCCCCAGAGAAACUCUGACCAGCCUGUGUACUGGAGUAGAGCCUCAGGAAGUCCGCAGCAAAGAGGAACCUGGACCCUCUUCUUCCUGUGUGGAAUCUGGGAUUCAAAACGGCCUGGCGGGAAGUGCUCUAGCUGGGACUCUGGCCUUGUGAGAGUCCCUGUUUUCCCCUUUUUUUCCUUUUCACCCAAUAAAACCCUGUUUACUCACUA
rnacentral:lncRNA from 1 species